UUGUAAUAUUCAUGGGUGCUCGGCGAGCAGAGACGAAAAUGGAUGGACGAGAUAUCAGGGGAUUCGAUCUGACAACACCCCCGGUUUUCUCCCAUUUGGGUUCUUUU
ensembl:ncRNA D2007.6 ncRNA